CGCCUAACACAUGCAAGUCGAACGAAGUAGCAAUACUUAGUGGCAGACGGGUGAGUAACAUGUAGGUAUCUGCCCUUUGGCCUGGAAUAACACGAGGAAACUUGUGCUAAUACCGGAUAAGUCUUUACGGAGAAAGCUUUAUGCACCAUUGGAUGAGCCUGCACUUGAUUAGUUUGUUGGUGGGGUAAUGGCCUACCAAGACUGUGAUCAAUAGCUGAUUUGAGAGGAUGAUCAGCCACAUUGGGACUGAGACACGGCCCAAACUCCUACGGGAGGCAGCAGUGGGGAAUCUUGCACAAUGGAGGAAACUCUGAUGCAGCGAUGCCGCGUGAGUGAAGAAGGCCCUUGGGUUGUAAAGCUCUUUCGUCGGGGAAGAAAAUGACUGUACCCGAAUAAGAAGGUCCGGCUAACUUCGUGCCAGCAGCCGCGGUAAUACGAAGGGACCUAGCGUAGUUCGGAAUUACUGGGCUUAAAGAGUUCGUAGGUGGUUGAAAAAGUUAGUGGUGAAAUCCCAGAGCUUAACUCUGGAACUGCCAUUAAAACUUUUCAGCUAGAGUAUGAUAGAGGAAAGCAGAAUUUCUAGUGUAGAGGUGAAAUUCGUAGAUAUUAGAAAGAAUACCAAUUGCGAAGGCAGCUUUCUGGAUCAUUACUGACACUGAGGAACGAAAGCAUGGGUAGCGAAGAGGAUUAGAUACCCUCGUAGUCCAUGCCGUAAACGAUGUGUGUUAGACGUUGGAAAUUUAUUUUCAGUGUCGCAGGGAAACCGAUAAACACACCGCCUGGGGAGUACGACCGCAAGGUUAAAACUCAAAUGAAUUGACGGGGACCCGCACAAGUAGUGGAGCAUGUGGUUUAAUUCGAAGAUACGCGCAGAACCUUACCAACACUUGACAUGUUCGUCGCGACUCUAAGAGAUUAGAGUUUUCGGUUCGGCCGGACGAAACACAGGUGCUGCAUGGCUGUCGUCAGCUCGUGUCGUGAGAUGUUGGGUUAAGUCCCGCAACGAGCGCAACCCUCACUUUUAGUUGCCAUCAUUAAGUUGGGCACUCUGAAAGAACUGCCAGUGAUAAGCUGGAGGAAGGUGGGGAUGACGUCAAGUCCUCAUGGCCCUUACGUGUUGGGCUACACACGUGCUACAAUGGUAUCUACAACAGGAAGCAAGACUGCGAAGUUAAGCAAAUCCCUAAAAGAUACCUCAGUUCGGAUUGCACUCUGCAACUCGAGUGCAUGAAGCUGGAAUUACUAGUAAUCGUGGAUCAGCGUGCCACGGUGAAUGCGUUCCCGGGUCUUGUACACACCGCCCGUCACACCAUGGGAGUUGGUUCUACCUUAAGGCAAGGUUUUAAACCCUUGACCACGGUAUAGUCAGCGA
rnacentral:rRNA from 1 species